CUGGCGGGCAGUCCUCCCUGGCGGGCAGUCCUCCUUGGCGGGCCAUCCUCCUUGGCGGGCCGUCCUCCCUGGCGGACCGUCCUCCCUGGCGGACCGUCCUCCCUGGCGGGCAGUCCUCCCUGGCGGGCAGUCCUCCCUGGCGGGCCAUCCUCCCUGGCGGACCGUCCUCCCUGGCGGGCCAUCCUCCUUGGUGGGCAGUCCUCUCUGGCGGGCAGUCCUCCCUGGCGGACCGUCCUCCCUGGCGGACCGUCCUCCCUGGCGGACCGUCCUUUCUGGCGGACCGUCCUCCCUGGCGGGCAGUCCUCCCUGGCGGGCAGUCCUCCCUGGCGGGCCAUCCUCCUUGGCGGGCAGUCCUCUCUGGCGGGCAGUCCUCCCUGGCGGGCAGUCCUCCUUGGCGGGCAGUCCUCCCUGGCGGGC
rnacentral:lncRNA from 1 species